rnacentral:ribozyme from 1 species
UCGUUCCCCUUCUCGCUUAUCCUCCCCCCCUUCCAUUUCGCCUCCCAACUCUCCCUCCUCCUCUUCUUCUUCCUCUUCUUCUU